ACGAGCGUGCUCCUGGGAGAGCAAGCAGCCUCCAAAACUGCGGCACGGGGUUCAAAUCCUCGCACUCGUGC
rnacentral:tRNA from 1 species